UACAGAGGUCUCAAGCGUUGUUCGGAUUCAUUGGGCGUAAAGGGUGCGUAGGUGGCGCGGUAAGUCGGGUGUGAAAUCUCGGAGCUUAACUCCGAAACUGCAUUCGAUACUGCCGUGCUUGAGGACUGGAGAGGAGACUGGAAUUUACGGUGUAGCGGUGAAAUGCGUAGAUAUCGUAAGGAAGACCAGUGGCGAAGGCGGGUCUCUGGACAGUUCCUGACGCUGAGGCACGAAGGUCAGGGGGAGCAAACAGG
rnacentral:rRNA from 1 species